rnacentral:lncRNA from 1 species
UACAAUCCUCGGUCAAUCCAUAAAAAGAGGGAGACAACUGCUGGAGAACAGAGAGAUCAACAACCCAAAAGCUCAAAUCUAGCCGAGGGAGGAGAUCUGCUGGGGAGAGGAAUCAUUAUCGAGUAUGCAGGGAGUUUUAGGUCAACACCAUAUCAAAAUGGGAGACAACCUUGAAAGGGACAAAUACAAAAUAGCUGCUCAGAGACCAGGAGGAAACUCUGACUGGGAGCGAGUCGGAGGGCGACUGGUGAGGGAACCAAC